rnacentral:rRNA from 1 species
UACGUAGGGUGCGAGCGUUAAUCGGAAUUACUGGGCGUAAAGCGUGCGCAGGCGGUUCGUUAAGUCAGAUGUGAAAGCCCCGGGCUCAACCUGGGAACUGCAUUUGAAACUGGCGGGCUUGAGUGCGGCAGAGGGGGGUGGAAUUCCGCGUGUAGCAGUGAAAUGCGUAGAGAUGCGGAGGAACACCGAUGGCGAAGGCAGCCCCCUGGGCCGACACUGACGCUGAGGAGCGAAAGCGUGGGGAGCGAACAGG